rnacentral:misc_RNA from 1 species
AAGUCGUAACAAGGUCUCCGUUGGUGAACCAGCGGAGGGAUCAUUACAGAGUUGCAAAACUCCCAACCAUUGUGAACCUACCUCACCGUUGCUUCGGCGGGUGGCCCGGGGCAACCCAGGCCGCGCCGGCCCCCCUCUUCGGGGGGCCCAGCAAGCCCGUCAGAGGACCGAAACCCUGUAAUUACUGGCCUCUCUGAGUAACUUAUACAAUAAGUCAAAACUUUCAACAACGGAUCUCUUGGUUCUG